rnacentral:tRNA from 1 species
GGGGGUAUAGCUCAGUGGUAGAGUGUGUGCUUGGCAUGCACAGGGUCCUGGGUAGCUCCA